AUGCGGGGGGUGCAACCACUCCAGUAUCAGGGGCGUCCCAUGUGGCACUUCAACGGCGAAGACGAUGCCAACCGCUGCGGUCGAAAAGGUCCGGACUCCGCCACCGCUCUAGUGAAAAUAAUGUCCGAUUUAUACAAAGGAGAAGAAGAGGAGUUCAUCCGCAUUAAGCCACGGGAUGGAUUUUCCAUGUACAACCACCCUAGUUGGGGAAUGCGGAAAGCUAUGAGGGAGAUCCAUAGCCCGUCUCCACAGCCAGAGGACCACAAUCGGGGCCUCGACCCUGGAGUCAAAGAAGAUCCGAACAUAUUUGUGGAG
rnacentral:rRNA from 1 species